ensembl:miRNA
ACAACAGCAGCUGAUUUCACUGUGCUGUCUGUCGUCUAACGUUAAGUGUGCCAAUCAGUGAAACCACCUGCUGUAAUGC